rnacentral:rRNA from 1 species
GGGCGACGGUUGUCCCGGUUUAAGCGUGUAGGCUGAUUUUCCAGGCAAAUCCGGAAAAUCAAGGCUGAGGCGUGAUGACGAGGCACUACGGUGCUGAAGCAACAAAUGCCCUGCUUCCAGGAAAAGCCUCUAAGCAUCAGGUAACAUCAAAUCGUACCCCAAACCGACACAGGUGGUCAGGUAGAGAAUACCAAGGCGCUUGAGAGAACUCGGGUGAAGGAACUAGGCAAAAUGGUGCCGUAACUUCGGGAGAAGGCACGCUGAUAUGUAGGUGAAGCGACUUGCUCGUGGAGCUGAAAUCAGUCGAAGAUACCAGCUGGCUGCAACUGUUUAUUAAAAACACAGCACUGUGCAAACACGAAAGUGGACGUAUACGGUGUGACGCCUGCCCGGUGCCGGAAGGUUAAUUGAUGGGGUUAGCGGUAACGCGAAGCUCUUGAUCGAAGCCCCGGUAAACGGCGGCCGUAACUAUAACGGUCCUAAGGUAGCGAAAUUCCUUGUCGGGUAAGUUCCGACCUGCACGAAUGGCGUAAUGAUGGCCAGGCUGUCUCCACCCGAGACUCAGUGAAAUUGAACUCGCUGUGAAGAUGCAGUGUACCCGCGGCAAGACGGAAAGACCCCGUGAACCUUUACUAUAGCUUGACACUGAACAUUGAGCCUUGAUGUGUAGGAUAGGUGGGAGGCUUUGAAGUGUGGACGCCAGUCUGCAUGGAGCCGACCUUGAAAUACCACCCUUUAAUGUUUGAUGUUCUAACGUUGGCCCGUUAUCCGGGUUGCGGACAGUGUCUGGUGGGUAGUUUGACUGGGGCGGUCUCCUCCUAAAGAGUAACGGAGGAGCACGAAGGUUGGCUAAUCCUGGUCGGACAUCAGGAGGUUAGUGCAAUGGCAUAAGCCAGCUUGACUGCGAGCGUGACGGCGCGAGCAGGUGCGAAAGCAGGUCAUAGUGAUCCGGUGGUUCUGAAUGGAAGGGCCAUCGCUCAACGGAUAAAAGGUACUCCGGGGAUAACAGGCUGAUACCGCCCAAGAGUUCAUAUCGACGGCGGUGUUUGGCACCUCGAUGUCGGCUCAUCACAUCCUGGGGCUGAAGUAGGUCCCAAGGGUAUGGCUGUUCGCCAUUUAAAGUGGUACGCGAGCUGGGUUUAGAACGUCGUGAGACAGUUCGGUCCCUAUCUGCCGUGGGCGCUGGAGAACUGAGGGGGGCUGCUCCUAGUACGAGAGGACCGGAGUGGACGCAUCACUGGUGUUCGGGUUGUCAUGCCAAUGGCACUGCCCGGUAGCUAAAUGCGGA